rnacentral:rRNA from 1 species
UACGUAGGGUGCGAGCGUUGUCCGGAAUUACUGGGCGUAAAGAGCUCGUAGGUGGUUUGUCGCGUUGUUCAUGAAAACUCACAGCUUAACUGUGGGCGUGCGGGCGAUACGGGCAGACUGGAGUACUGCAGGGGAGACUGGAAUUCCUGGUGUAGCGGUGGAAUGCGCAGAUAUCAGGAGGAACACCGGUGGCGAAGGCGGGUCUCUGGGCAGUAACUGACGCUGGAGGAGCGAAAGCGUGGGGAGCGAACAGG